GCUUUUUGCAAUCGGUGCAGGUUUGCUCGAGGUUGGUCACAAUUUGCUGAAGACAAUUCACUAUCUGUAGGAGAUGUUUGUGUGUUUGAGCUAGUUAAUCGCUCGCAAAACUUGCUCCAAGUUUUCAUAUAUAGAGCAACAAAAUGCUAGAUAAUAAAUGCCACUUAGAGUUCUCUUCAAUUUGUUCUCAUAAUAACUCUUAUGAAUCAUAGUGCUAGACGGAUAUUGACGUCCCCGCUAACUAUUAUAGAUGCGUGAUUAUUCGAACGCCACGCACUAACAAAAACACCCCGUCUUUUUUGGUUGGGUACCAUUAUAAGGUGAAACUCUGAUAUAAUUUGCACAUGGUUCAUAAGAAGAUUUACUAUACUCAAAGAUGUUGACCUAUUAUUACAUAUACAAAGAUUUUAUCCGAACUAGAGUUGGACACUUAUCUAAGGUUGGCAAAAUACUAGGAAAGCAUGGCCAAAAGAAACAGAAAGUGCCUAGUUGACACAGUGAUGGUUGAUUACUUUAUUAGUUGACCAAACACGGACCUUAAUCUUAUGAUGGCUGAUUACUUUAUUAGUUGACCAAACACGGACCUGUCUUUGCAGCACGUGUCCAGUAAUAUGCCUUUUUUCACCAAAACUUGCUUGCUCGAGUACUUGAAAAGUUGGAAUUCUCUGUCAGUAGAAAAUUAAGGCUGCUUGCUGGAGUACUUGAAAUUCUCUUUGUUGGUACAAAAUUAAGGGGAUCCUUUUGUUCAAACUCUCAGCAUUCAUCUCCUCAUGCAAUAAUCCCGACAAGCAGCCACUAGGCCCACUACAUUUCCUUGUCAUUCUAUCCACUCCAAAGCACUCCAGCCUGAUUGGUCCCUCUCGCAUAAUGGAAGCCAAGCCACAACUCACCUUUUUCAACACCUUCCUUUCCAUUGGCCCCGUCACAAUGCGUGAACAAGCAGCCCCCCCCCCCCCCCCCCCCCN
rnacentral:lncRNA from 1 species